UGCAAGUCGAGCGGUAACAUUUCUAGCUUGCUAGAAGAUGACGAGCGGCGGACGGGUGAGUAACGCGUAGGAAUCUGCCUAGUAGUGGGGGACAACAUGUGGAAACGCAUGCUAAUACCGCAUACGCCCUACGGGGGAAAGGAGGGGAUCUUCGGACCUUUCGCUAUUAGAUGAGCCUGCGUGAGAUUAGCUAGUUGGUGAGGUAAAGGCUCACCAAGGCGACGAUCUCUAGCUGGUCUGAGAGGAUGAUCAGCCACACUGGGACUGAGACACGGCCCAGACUCCUACGGGAGGCAGCAGUGGGGAAUAUUGGACAAUGGGCGCAAGCCUGAUCCAGCCAUGCCGCGUGUGUGAAGAAGGCCUUAGGGUUGUAAAGCACUUUCAGGAGUGAGGAAGGGUGUACGGUUAAUACCCGUAUAUUUUGACGUUAGCUCCAGAAGAAGCACCGGCUAACUCUGUGCCAGCAGCCGCGGUAAUACAGAGGGUGCAAGCGUUAAUCGGAAUUACUGGGCGUAAAGCGCGCGUAGGUGGUUUGUUAAGUCGGAUGUGAAAUCCCAGGGCUCAACCUUGGAAUUGCACCCGAUACUGGCAGGCUAGAGUACGGUAGAGGGGUGUGGAAU
rnacentral:rRNA from 1 species